CCCACUAUCCCAACUUUGGACCUUAUAAAAUCCCUCUCGAGACCCAUGAUUCUCUUCUUGGGCUUUCUCCUUGCCUUUAGGCCCUUUAAUUCUACCAAUCGACCCAAGCCCGCCUCUGCUGCCUCCAGAUGUUGGACUUGGGCUGGGCCCCCCUCCCCUUCUAAUGCCCAAACUCACAUUGGAACAGAUAGGCCCACUCGGGUACAACCCAGCAUCCAUCCCAAUCACUGGUUCCCGGAUCAGCGACCCGAAUCGGA
rnacentral:lncRNA from 1 species